rnacentral:rRNA from 1 species
UACAGAGGUCUCAAGCGUUGUUCGGAUUCAUUGGGCGUAAAGGGUGCGUAGGCGGCGCGGUAAGUCGGGUGUGAAAUCUCGGGGCUUAACUCCGAAACUGCAUUCGAUACUGCCGUGCUUGAGGACUGGAGAGGAGACUGGAAUUUACGGUGUAGCGGUGAAAUGCGUAGAUAUCGUAAGGAAGACCAGUGGCGAAGGCGGGUCUCUGGACAGUUCCUGACGCUGAGGCACGGAAGGUCAGGGGAGCAAACGGG